AUUGAACGCUGGCGGCAUGCCUUACACAUGCAAGUCGAACGGCAGCACGGGUGCUUGCACCUGGUGGCGAGUGGCGAACGGGUGAGUAAUACAUCGGAACAUGUCCUGUAGUGGGGGAUAGCCCGGCGAAAGCCGGAUUAAUACCGCAUACGAUCUACGGAUGAAAGCGGGGGACCUUCGGGCCUCGCGCUGUAGGGUUGGCCGAUGGCUGAUUAGCUAGUUGGUGGGGUAAAGGCCUACCAAGGCGACGAUCAGUAGCUGGUCUGAGAGGACGACCAGCGACACUGGGACUGAGACACGGCCCAGACUCCUACGGGAGGCAGCAGUGGGGAAUUGUGGACAAUGGGCGAAAGCCUGAUCCAGCAAUGGCGCGUGUGUGAAGAAGGCCUUCGGGUUGUAAAGCACUUUUGUCCGGAAAGAAAUCCUUGGCCCUAAUACGGUCGGGGGAUGACGGUACCGGAAGAAUAAGCACCGGCUAACUACGU
rnacentral:rRNA from 1 species